rnacentral:rRNA from 1 species
CCCUUAGAUGCUCUGGGCCGCACGCGCGCUACACUGGUCGAUGCAACGAGUUUCUUUCCUUGGCCGACAGGCCUGGGCAAUCUUUGAACAUCGAUCGUGAUCGGGAUAGAUUCUUGUAAUUUUUGAUCUUAAACGAGGAAUUCCUAGUAAACGCAAGUCAUCAGCUUGCAUUGAUUCCGUCCCUGCCCUUUGUACACACCGCCCGUCGCACCUACCGAUUGAAUGGUCCGGUGAAAUCUCCGGACUGGCGUGAGUCGGAGCAAUCUGACAAACACCGGAAAGUUGAUUAAACCUUACCAUUUAGAGGAAGGUGAANUCGUANCA